rnacentral:rRNA from 1 species
UACGUAGGGAGCAAGCGUUGUCCGGAUUUACUGGGUGUAAAGGGUGCGUAGGCGGCUUUGCAAGUCAGAAGUGAAAUCCAUGGGCUUAACCCAUGAACUGCUUUUGAAACUGCAGAGCUUGAGUGGAGUAGAGGUAGGCGGAAUUCCCGGUGUAGCGGUGAAAUGCGUAGAGAUCGGGAGGAACACCGGUGGCGAAGGCGGCCUGCUGGACUGCAACUGACGUUGAGGCCCGAAAGCGUGGGGAGCAAACAGG